UAGCUUUAUUCCAAUAAUAAAGUUACAAAAAAAGCUUUUAAUAAUAAACUUAUACUAUAAUUGAGUUGAGUUAGGUUCACUUUUAACUAAACUUUAAAUGUGUCAAAUUUGAAAAAUCAUCUUCGAAGUAGGCAUUGGCUAAAGUAUACACUACAAAUUCAAAAUGUUGUCCAUUUAAAAGAUUCAAACAUCCACAAACUUUAAUAUGCCUCUCAAACAAACACACAUAAAUAUGGGGGAAAAGGCACCAUGUAAAUAUAGUUAUUU
rnacentral:lncRNA from 1 species